AAAGAGGCUCUUAGGGACUGUGGUCUGUGCAUUGCUGGAGGCCUGGCCCACCUUGCAGAUCGCUGUGGAGAAUGGCUUUGGGGUUGUGCACAGCCAGGAGAAGGCUGAAUGGCUGGGGGGUGCAGUGAAGGAGUACUUCUUCCACAAUGCUGACUUAGAGCUAGAUGAGGUGAAGGACUUCCUCAGGGAGCUAAUGACAAAUGAGUUUAAUACAGUUGUGGGGGGUGAGAAUCUGCCCCAGGUGAGUCAGCAGCUACAGACUAUGUUCCACCACUUCCAGAGGAGUAAUAGGGCUGCUCUGAAGGUGAUGGUCUCUCUCAUCACCCAAAGAAAGUGUAAGGUCAGAAUCAAUGGACUGACUACAGCCAGAGAGACUGAUGAGGAUGAUGGUGCAAAUAGCAUGAAGGAGGUGAAGAGUGCAGCUAUGAAAGAUGGGGCAGCUACAGACGGGAUGUGCCCACAACCUGAGCACUUUGGUCCAGACUCCCAGACUAUUAAGGAAGAGGAUAUGGUGGAGGAUGGCCAGACCAGAGAAAGAAAUGAGUGGGGCUGGAAAUGGUCUGGAUCCUUGUUUGCUUGGGACUUGUUUGUAGGGUUUUUGUUGGAGGGUUGCAGACCUCUGUACUGGUUAUCUCAUCUCCAUCCUCACCCCAUUCCCUUAUCCAGCUUCUUCCAGGAGGUAGAAGAACCCAAGGGUCCUUGGUCUUGAGGUGAACUGAGUGAUAAGGCCUGGUUUGCUAGCAAAGUGUCUCUUGGGUACAAUUAGUGUGAAGAAGGAGGGAUGAGUGGUAUGGGAGUGACUGGGGGAGA